rnacentral:lncRNA from 1 species
CUGCUUGUUUUGCUAGCCAAACUCUCGCGUAUAUGGCAAUGUUAAAACUACCGCUAAAUUGACACACUCCUGUCACAGGAAUGCAUUACAAACAAUACAACUUACCAUAAAACGGUACAUACAUUUAUUAUGUAAAUGAAUAAUUUAAUAAUACAUUAUUACAUGAAACCGCAGAAUAACAGCAAACAACUUUCAUGAAUUUACAACAGCACACCAGUUAUUAAUAAUCGGUAGGAAUGUUCAUACUGUUUACCUAACUAGCCUCAGAGGUAAUAAUUACAUCACUAAAGGCAGGAUACAAAUUCGAUUGUUCUCUCUGUGUACUUUAGUUUCCUCCACGAAUAGAAACUGACCCCCACGAUAUAAGCAAUAA